rnacentral:tRNA from 1 species
GCGGGAGUAGCUCAGGGGUAGAGCACUAGCUUCCCAAGCUGGGUGUCGCGGGUUCGAUUCCCGUUUCCCGCUCCA